ACGGGGUGCAGCAGGCGAGAAAACUUUGCAAUGUGCGAAAGCACGACAAGGUUAGUCCGAGUGAUUUCUGCUAAAGAGAUCUUUUGCUAGUUAUAAAACCACUAGUGAAUAAGGGGUGGGCAAGUUCUGGUGUCAGCCGCCGCGGUAAAACCAGCACCUCAAGUGGUCAGGAUGAUUAUUGGGCCUAAAGCAUCCGUAGCCGGCUCUGUAAGUUUUCGGUUAAAUCCAUGUGCUCAACGCAUGGGCUGCCGAAAAUACUGCAGAGAUAGGGAGUGGGAGAGGUAGACGGUACUCGGUAGGAAGGGGUAAAAUCCUUUGAUCUAUCGAUGACCACCUGUGGCGAAGGCGGUCUACCAGAACACGUUCGACGGUGAGGGAUGAAAGCUGGGGGAGCAAACCGGAUUAGAUACCCGGGUAGUCCCAGCUGUAAACGAUGCAGACUCGAUGAUGCAUUGGCAUAUAGCCAGUGCAGUGUCGCAGGGAAGCCGUUAAGUCUGCCGCCUGGGAAGUACGUACGCAAGUAUGAAACUUAAAGGAAUUGGCGGGGGAGCAC
rnacentral:rRNA from 2 species